AUGGACGCCACAGCGGUUGUUGGGUGCUUCCGGGACAGGACCAUACUCGUCACUGGCUCAACUGGUUUCCUCGGGAAAUUGUUGGUGGAGAAGAUAUUGAGGGUUCAGCCGAACGUGAAGAAGCUCUACCUGGUGGUGCGCGCGUCGGAUGCCGCCUCUGCGGAGCAGCGUAUCCUGUCCCAGGUUCUGGGGAAGGAUCUGUUCAACACCAUGCGAGAAAAGCAUGGGCUAGCUGGCUUCGAGGAGCUCAUCCAAGAGAAGAUAGUUCCUCUCGCAGGAGACAUUGGGAUUCAAAACUUUGGGCUCGAUAGGUCGACAGUUGACGACCUUUGUGAGGAGAUCGAUGUUAUCAUCCAUGGGGCAGCAACAACGAGCUUCUAUGAACGGUACGAUGUGGCAUUAGCAUCAAAUGCAUUAGGAGCCAAAUAUAUAUGCGAAUUUGCAAAGAAGUGCAGCAAUAUGAAAUUGUUGCUUCAUCUUUCCACUGCUUUUGUAGCGGGUACCCGAGAAGGACUUUUACUAGAGGAAGCACUGCAGAUGGGUGAAACACUAAGGCCCGGUUACUGUUUAGACAUUAAAGCUGAGUUGCGGUUAGUUGAGAAGAUCAAGACUGAACUCAGAGUAGCCAAUAGUGGUGGGCCAGACCAGUCAUUGGAGAAAACAGCCAUGAAAGAACUUGGCUUAAAGAGGGCCUGCCAUUUUGGAUGGCCAAACGUAUAUACAUUUACCAAAGCUAUGGGCGAGAUGCUACUUGCGCAGGAGAGGGGAGACCUUCCUCUCAUCAUUAUGCGACCCGCCAUGGUAACCAGCACUUUUCAAGAUCCAUUUCCUGGCUGGAUAGAAGGGGCGAGGACAAUUGAUGCUUUGAUUGUCGCCUACACUGAGCAAGCAUUCCCAUGUUUCGUAGGUGAUCGAAAAAACAUAAUGGAUGCUGUUCCUGCGGACAUGGUGGUAAAUGCAACCCUUGUAGCCAUGGCUGUUCACUGGAAUGAAAAAGGAUAUGUCAUUUACCACGUGUGCUCGGCACUCCAAAAUCCAUUGUCUGGUUAUGUCUUAGAGGACGCAUGCUGGGAUUACUUCUCCAAGCAUCCUCGUAUACGAGAAGAUGGGAAACCGCUGAAAAACAAAAGGCCAUACGUGUUUAAGAGGUUCACUCUCUUCCGUGCAUAUCUGAUAAUGGUUUAUAAGCUACCACUUGAGAUCUUGCAUGCGGUGAGCCUUUUAUUCUGUGGGUUGUUUUCGCAAUCUUACAAUAAGUACAACCGAAGAUACAAUUUCUUAAUCCUCUUGGUGAAGCUCUAUGCACCAUAUGCCUUCUUCAAAGGAUGCUUUGAUGACACGAACAUUACAAGGUUGCUUACGGAAGUAAAGAUGGAUUGCAAUGGUGGUAGCAUAUUUAAUUUUGAUCCCAGAUCUAUGGACUGGCACUCAUAUCUCUUGAAUGUACACGUCCCAGCUGUGAUAAAGUAUGGCCGCAAAAAUUAG
rnacentral:rRNA from 1 species